rnacentral:lncRNA from 1 species
UUUCUUCAAAUUUAAAUUCUUAAUAUAUUGUCUUUCGAUAAAUUAUAUGAAAUAUGGACACCCAAAAAUUUCACUUCAGAUGUAGUGGGUAACAAACAAUUAUUAUAUUGCACAGCAGGUGUACUGUGACAAUGUUUACCAAAUACAAUAACUUUAGACUUGGAUGGAUUCACACUGAGAUCAAGGAAUCCCUAUUUGUAAUAACUCAAGGCAUAGAAUAUCUAUGUUUACACUAUUAAAAGCACCUGCGAUGUCAAA